rnacentral:rRNA from 1 species
AGACAGGUGCUGCAUGGCUGUCGUCAGCUCGUGUCGUGAGAUGUUGGUUAAGUCCCGCAACGAGCGCAACCCUUGCCUUUAGUUGCCAUCAUUCAGUUGGGCACUCUAGAGGGACUGCCGGUGUCAAACCGGAGAAGGUGGGGAUGACGUCAAGUCCUCAUGGCCUUUAUGCCCAGGGCUACACACGUGCUACAAUGGGCGGUACAAAGAGCAGCGAGCUCGCGAGAGUAAGACAAAUCUCAAAAAGCCGUCCUCAGUUCGGAUUGGAGUCUGCAACUCGACUCCAUGAAGUUGGAACCGCUAGUAAUCGCGGAUCAGCACGCCGCGGUGAAUACGUUCCCGGGCCUU